UCAGGGUGAAAUUCAAUUCUUAGCUGACAUUUCUUUUUAUUUCCUCUUGCUUUUUUUCUAGUGCUCUACAGUAUCAGGAAACUGGACAGCUCUCCAUUAAACAGCCAAGCAUCAUCUGUACUGAAGCAUCUGAUAUUGCUUCCUUUACCAAUUUGUCCCCUGGUCCAGAGACUGUGCCAAAACGUACAAAAGAAACUCUGUGUGAGAAUAUUCAGCAGAACGAGGACAUAAGGGAUACUAAAAUGGCAGACUUUGGAGGCUUACAGUCUAAUUGCAACCAGUCAUUAGAGGAAUCUCACUGGGGAAGUCUUGGCUCCAUGAAUCAGAUCCCAUCUUUGCAAAAUCUCCAUGAGGGGUCCACAAGCAACAGCACUUUUCUGGUGUGUUCUAUGAAUGCAAACAGUUUGGCCAUCUCUGAUCAGGUACUGAGUCCCCCUGAAAGUGGAAGACCAGAUGCUUCUAUAGCAGAAUCUGCCAAUCAUUUCAAAAGGACAGCACUGGCAAAAGAAGGCAUUGAAAUGGCACAAAGUGGAACUGCCACUUUUUCUUCACCAAAACAAAAUGACUCCUCAGAGCCAGUUUCAACACAAAGUUCCCUUGCAGUUUGAUGCAUCACAUCUUCCGCUCUGAAAAACAGCAGUGCUAUGAUAUACUGAAGGCAGACUGCUCAAAGAACAAUUCAAAAUACUAAUAUAAAGACUUGAGCAACUGGAACCUUUUUCAUACUGGGAAGUAGCCAGAAGUACAGAUCUAGAAAGGCAGAUGAGAUGGCCUUUAGGAAAGCAGAUAUCCUAGUUACAAUUGGCUUGAGAUGAACAAUUUUGAUACACAAUGUCUUCUGGGGAAUGGCUGAAUUCCUGAUUUUAUGCGAGCCGUUUAAGGGGUAUUAUAAGAGGCAGAAUGGGGUGUAGCCACUUUGAGGGCCAAGGUGGAAUAACUAUGAUAACUUUUAUCCAGACCUGCCUCCCCCUGUUCAGAGUCACCCUGUCUUCCUGCCUGCACUCUUCACGUGAGUAGUCAUCACCUACUGCCUGGCCCUACCCCGUCAUCCACCCCGUCAUGACAGCAGAUGGGUGGCCAUAGAGACUUAGGGAGGACUUCUGGCAUGGAGAUCAUAGGAGCUCUUGCUGAAGAGGUAGCCAAUGGGCAAUAGCAGCUGGGCAGUGAGAAUGAGGCUGUUCACCUGCUGAGGAGAGGCUUGUUGAAGGGGCAAGAACCAUUUUGAAGAAGAUGUGAGAGAGGGCACUAGACCAAAGAGGGGGAUGGGUUUGGGGGGAUCAGAUGGUCAAGGCAGCCAGGAUGAAUAAUCCAUCCUUUGGGUAACGUGACAGGUCUCCGAGAUAUCACAAGUCUGUUUUCCAUAUGCACAUUUCAAACUGCUUUAAAGAAAAUAACUUGUUUCUCAAAAUUACUGCUACAAAUUGUCAAAAUUCCAGUUAGAGACGUUUGCCUUAGGGUAGCCUCUUUUCCCAAAUCCACUUUUUGGAAGAAAAUGAGUGAAGUUCUCUGUAUUUAUAUUUUGAACUAUUUCUCAUUUUCUCAAAUGGCUUGUUUUAUUUAUACAAAAAGUGAUUUUUUUCUAAUUUGUUUUUGAUAUUGAAACAUUUUAAUGAACUCUCAAUUAGAGUGGUCUCUAAAUUACAGUUUUCCUUUUUAAGAUCAAUCUUCAUUUUGAAAAUGUACAUCUACCUAUAGUUUUCACAGGGAAAGGGGCGUAUUUGAAAUUCACUAUAUAUGGACAAAAUAUAUUUUAUUUAUACAGAGGAGUUUUGCUGAUUUAUUUAAUUUUUAUUUUUUGUAUGAGUUGAAGUGAAUUCUUCUAAAGGAAUAUGGUCAUCUAAUAAAUUAAGGUUUUUUUAUAUGAAUU
rnacentral:lncRNA from 1 species